AAUUGUUAAAUGCAUGCUAUAGAUGUUAUUCAAAUGAACAUGUUUUCACAAAAUCAUCCUUCAUUCAGUUGAUAAGCGAGAGAUGCUUUGAACAUCUCUUCGUAGGCCUUCCACCAUGAUGGGCUUCAAUCGUUUGUGACUCAUACACCGUAUUCGUCCAGUUCUGGGGUAUGCAAAGUAUGUGCUUACAUUCAGGAGAAGCCUAUAAACAUAUGAUGAAGUGAAGGUAGGAAACGAGUAUGGUCAAUAUGAUAUUCUUCUGAGGCCAUUCUUGAACCCCUACUUGAAC
rnacentral:lncRNA from 1 species